UGAUGUAAGCAAAUUAGAAGAUAGACCACCUGUUGUCACAAUAAUGGGCCAUAUAGAUCAUGGAAAGACAACUCUUUUGGAUUACAUUCGAAAGAGCAAGGUGGCAGCAUCUGAAGCCGGUGGAAUUACUCAAGGAAUUGGUGCAUAUAAGGUGAAGGUACCUAUAGAUGGCAGGCUCCAGACAUGUGUCUUCCUCGAUACUCCUGGAC